rnacentral:rRNA from 1 species
UACGGAGGGAGCUAGCGUUGUUCGGAAUUACUGGGCGUAAAGCGCGCGUCGGCGGCUUUGUAAGUUAGAGGUGAAAGCCCGGGGCUCAACCCCGGAACAGCCUUUAAGACUGCAUCGCUAGAAUCCGGGAGAGGUGAGUGGAAUUCCGAGUGUAGAGGUGAAAUUCGUAGAUAUUCGGAAGAACACCAGUGGCGAAGGCGGCUCACUGGACCGGCAUUGACGCUGAGGUGCGAAAGCGUGGGGAGCAAACAGG